rnacentral:rRNA from 1 species
UACGUAGGGGGCAAGCGUUAUCCGGAAUUACUGGGCGUAAAGGGUGCGUAGGUGGUUUCUUAAGUCAGAGGUAAAAGGCUACGGCUCAACCGUAGUAAGCCUUUGAAACUGAGAAACUUGAGUGCAGGAGAGGAGAGUAGAAUUCCUAGUGUAGCGGUGAAAUGCGUAGAUAUUAGGAGGAAUACCAGUUGCGAAGGCGGCUCUCUGGACUGUAACUGACACUGAGGCACGAAAGCGUGGGGAGCAAACAGGAUUAGAUACCCUGGUAGUCCCUGA